AUUGAACGCUGGCGGCAGGCCUAACACAUGCAAGUCGAGCGGAUGAAGGGAGCUUGCUCCUGGAUUCAGCGGCGGACGGGUGAGUAAUGCCUAGGAAUCUGCCUGGUAGUGGGGGAUAACGUCCGGAAACGGGCGCUAAUACCGCAUACGUCCUGAUGGAGAAAGUUGGGGAUCUUCGGACCUCACGCUAUCAGAUGAGCCUAGGUCGGAUUAGCUAGUUGGUGGGGUAAAGGCCUACCAAGGCGACGAUCCGUAACUGGUCUGAGAGGAUGAUCAGUCAAACUGGAAGUGAGACAAGGUCCAGACUCCUACGGGAGGCAGCAGUGGGGAAUAUUGGACAAUGGGCGAAAGCAUGAUCCAGCAAGGCCGCGUGUGUGAAGAAGGUCUUCGGAUUGUAAAGCACUUUAAGUUGGGAGGAAGGGAAGUAAGUUAAUACCUUGCUGUUUUGACGUUACCAACAGAAUAAGCACCGGCUAACUUCGUG
rnacentral:rRNA from 1 species